rnacentral:rRNA from 1 species
UACGUAGGGUGCAAGCGUUGUCCGGAAUUAUUGGGCGUAAAGAGCUCGUAGGCGGUCUGUCGCGUCUGCCGUGAAAACUCAGGGCUUAACCCUGAGCUUGCAGUGGGUACGGGCAGACUAGAGUGCGGUAGGGGAGACUGGAAUUCCUGGUGUAGCGGUGAAAUGCGCAGAUAUCAGGAGGAACACCGGUGGCGAAGGCGGGUCUCUGGGCCGUAACUGACGCUGAGGAGCGAAAGCAUGGGGAGCGAACAGG